GUUGUGGACUACGUCUGUGCGGCUGCGUGGGGCUCGGCCGCGCGGACUGAAGGAGACUGAAGGCCCUCGGAUGCCCAGAACCUGUAGGCCGCACCGUGGACUUGUUCUUAAUCGAGGGGGUGCUGGGGGGACCCUGAUGUGGCACCAAAUGAAAUGAACAAAGCUCCACAGUCCACAGGCCCCCCACCCGCCCCAUCCCCCGGACUCCCACAGGUAAUUAGGGAGGAAUUAGCAGGGGUGGGGGUGGGGGAGACCAGGCAGUCUCCAGCCUCUGGAUCUUCCUACCCCCAUCUGUGUCAGGGCAAAGUGCAGCCGCCUGCUGCCAAAUUGAGACAGGGCCCCUGGGCUGUCCCCGGGGGCUGUCACGGGGAGGGGGUAUGUGGAUUGUUAAGGCUCUUGCCGCAGAUCUGCUCCCCUUAUUUCACCAGCUUGGGUUUCUGCCCCACCUGGGCUUCCCCUCUUGCUGAACUCUGG
rnacentral:lncRNA from 1 species